GAUGAACGCUAGCUACAGGCUUAACACAUGCAAGUCGAGGGGUAACGAGAGGAAAGCUUGCUUUCCUUGCCGACGACCGGCGCACGGGUGAGUAACGCGUAUCCAACCUGCCCCCAACUAGGGAAUAACCUUGCGAAAGUAAGGCUAAUACCCUAUAAUUUCCUCAGAUGUCAUCUGACGAGGAAUAAAGAUUUAUCGGUUGUGGAUGGGGAUGCGUCUGAUUAGCUUGUUGUCGGGGUAACGGCCCACCAAGGCAACGAUCAGUAGGGGUUCUGAGAGGAAGGUCCCCCACAUUGGAACUGAGACACGGUCCAAACUCCUACGGGAGGCAGCAGUGAGGAAUAUUGGUCAAUGGGCGGAAGCCUGAACCAGCCAAGUAGCGUGCAGGAUGACGGCCCUAUGGGUUGUAAACUGCUUUUAUACAGGAAUAAAGUUAGCCACGUGUGGUUAUUUGUAGGUACUGUAUGAAUAAGGACCGGCUAAUUCCGUGCCAGCAGCCGCGGUAA
rnacentral:rRNA from 1 species